AAAAAAAGCAAGAGUCCAUUUGAUGAAUCUGAAGAAAAUGGUAACUUGGUGUGGCCAAAGCUCUCUAGGUAAGGCCACCUAUAAACGACUGGCAGAGGAGAUGACAAAUUUGUUAGUAGAUUGGCUAUUUGUUUUUUGAAAGCUUGCAAACAAAUCGUACACAGUUGAUUUAAGAUGUCUAAUUUUGGGAGUAGUAUUUUAGUAAUUAAACUGUGUGGAGAUAGAGGAGCCUACAGGAUGAACAAGCAAACCCCAAAUAAGUAAAUCUUGUUCUCACUUCCAUCUAAUGGACCCAAGCAUUAUGAUUGGAAUGGGAACAACUGGGUCUAUUCCCACAACAACGGUGUACCUCUCCACAAACUGCUAUCCCAGAGCUGACUAAAAAUUCAAAUUGGACGUAUUUUCAUUUGCCUAUUCCAAAAAAGGCACUUU
rnacentral:lncRNA from 1 species